UACGUAGGGUGCGAGCGUUGUCCGGAAUUAUUGGGCGUAAAGAGCGUGUAGGCGGCCCGAUAAGUCCGCUGUGAAAGUCCAGGGCUCAACCCUGGGAUGCCGGUGGAUACUGUCGGGCUCGAGUCCGGAAGAGGAGUGUGGAAUUCCUGGUGUAGCGGUGAAAUACGUAGAUAUCAGGUGGAAUACCGGAGGCGAAGGCGGCUACUGGCCGAGACACUGACACUCAGAUCCGAAAGCGUGGGGAUCAAACAGG
rnacentral:rRNA from 1 species